UACGAAGGGGGCUAGCGUUGUUCGGAUUUACUGGGCGUAAAGCGCACGUAGGCGGAUUGUUAAGUGAGGGGUGAAAUCCUGGAGCUCAACUCCAGAACUGCCUUUCAUACUGGCAAUCUAGAGUCCGGAAGAGGUAAGUGGAACUCCUAGUGUAGAGGUGGAAUUCGUAGAUAUUAGGAAGAACACCAGUGGCGAAGGCGGCUUACUGUCCGGUGACUGACGGCUGAGGUGCGAAAGCGUGGGAGCAAACGGAUUGAG
rnacentral:rRNA from 1 species